rnacentral:rRNA from 1 species
GAUGAACGCUGGCGGCGUGCCUAAUACAUGCAAGUCGAGCGAAUGGAUUAAGAGCUUGCUCUUAUGAAGUUAGCGGCGGACGGGUGAGUAACACGUGGGUAACCUGCCCAUAAGACUGGGAUAACUCCGGGAAACCGGGGCUAAUACCGGAUAACAUUUUGAACCGCAUGGUUCGAAAUUGAAAGGCGGCUUCGGCUGUCACUUAUGGAUGGACCCGCGUCGCAUUAGCUAGUUGGUGAGGUAACGGCUCACCAAGGCAACGAUGCGUAGCCGGCCCGAGAGGGGGAUAGGCCGAACUGGGGACGAGACACGGCCCAGACCCCUACGGGGGGCAGCCGUAGGGAAUCUUCCGCAAUGGACGAAAGUCUGACGGAGCAACGCCGCGUGAGUGAUGAAGGCUUUCGGGUCGUAAAACUCUGUUGUUAGGGAAGAACAAGUGCUAGUUGAAUAAGCUGGCACCUUGACGGUACCUAACCAGAAAGCCACGGCUAACUACGUGCCAGCAGCCGCAGUAA